AGCUUGUCUAACAAAAUGAGGGAGCUUGAGAUAUUGGCAUACAAGGAAUAGUAUGGCAUAAUUGCUGAGGCUUGGUGGGAUGAAACAUAUAUUAUUGGACUGUUUAUAGAAAUGGAAAAGCAGGAGGGAUAUGUUUAUAUAUCAAUCCUGAAUCAAAGUCGUGUUAAAGAAUUGGGUAGAUAUUUGCAUAGGAGCGAACAGGGUUUUUUUGUUAAUAG